rnacentral:rRNA from 1 species
ACGGGAGGCAGCAGUGGGGAAUAUUGCACAAUGGGCGAAAGCCUGAUGCAGCGACGCCGCGUGAGUGAUGAAGUAUUUCGGUAUGUAAAGCUCUAUCAGCAGGGAAGAUAAUGACGGUACCUGACUAAGAAGCACCGGCUAAAUACGUGCCAGCAGCCGCGGUAAUACGUAUGGUGCAAGCGUUAUCCGGAUUUACUGGGUGUAAAGGGAGCGCAGGCGGUACGGCAAGUCUGAUGUGAAAGCCCGGGGCUCAACCCCGGUACUGCAUUGGAAACUGUCGAACUAGAGUGUCGGAGGGGUAAGUGGAAUUCCUAGUGUAGCGGUGAAAUGCGUAGAUAUUAGGAGGAACACCAGUGGCGAAGGCGGCUUACUGGACAGUAACUGACGUUGAGGCACGAAAGCGUGGGGAGCAAACAGGAUUAGAUACCCUGGUA